rnacentral:rRNA from 1 species
AACAGGAUUAGAUACCCUGGUAGUCCACGCUGUAAACGAUGUCGACUCGGAGGUUGUUCCCUUGAGGAGUGGCUUCCGGAGCUAACGCGUUAAGUCGACCGCCUGGGGAGUACGGCCGCAAGGUUAAAACUCAAAUGAAUUGACGGGGGCCCGCACAAGCGGUGGAGCAUGCGGUUUAAUUCGAUGCAACGCGAAGAACCUUACCUACUCUUGACAUCCAGAGAACUUAGCAGAGAUGCUUUGGUGCCUUCGGGAACUCUGAGACAGGUGCUGCAUGGCUGUCGUCAGCUCGUGUUGUGAAAUGUUGGGUUAAGUCCCGCAACGAGCGCAACCCUUAUCCUUUGUUGCCAGCGGUCCGGCCGGGAACUCAAAGGAGACUGCCAGUGAUAAACUGGAGGAAGGUGGGGAUGACGUCAAGUCAUCAUGGCCCUUACGAGUAGGGCUACACACGUGCUACAAUGGCAUAUACAAAGAGAAGCGACCUCGCGAGAGCAAGCGGACCUCAUAAAGUAUGUCGUAGUCCGGAUUGGAGUCUGCAACUCGCCUCCAUGAAGUCGGAAUCGCUAGUAAUCGUGGAUCAGAAUGCCACGGUGAAUACGUUCCCGGGCCUUGUACACACCGCCCGUCACACCAUGGGAGUGGGUUGCAAAAGAAGUAGGUAGCUUAACCUUCGGGAGGGCGCUUACCACUUUGUGAUUCAUGACUGGGGUGAAGUCGUAACAAGGUAACC